AUGGGAUCGAAUGCCAUGCCAUCGCCAGCUCGAAUGCUACUUAUUUGAAAUCGCGUUUUCAGUUUAAAAAUGAAUGGUUUCAGUACUCCUAAAUAAUAGCCCCGUCACAAAUACGAUAAAAUAUGGCGUUUUAGCCUACUUCCUGGUGAUCCAUUCAGGAUUCCUGUGGUUGGCAUUGAGGAGAGGGGCAAGGGAGACCUGCCACAGGAAUCUCAAUCACAGCAAGAGUAACAAUGCCUAAGAAAGGCACAGGAACCCCAAUCACAGCGAGAGUAAUAACGACUAGGCUAAAGAGGGUGAUUAUUGACUUCUCAAACUAUGGCAAAUGGUUCACUUGCCUUCCAGCCUAGUAGUUCAGCAAGUGCCAAACAGCCAUCGUCUGUUGUUCCAAGCCAUGCAACAUCCCUGGUAAACAAGAGAUCAUUCUGUUAUGGCGUAAAGACAAGUAAAGACAUCUGACGUUACUUAUGGUGAUAGUAACUACAAAUUAGGCAAUUUGGAGGUUCAGACAACAGACUGCCUACCCUCACAUGUCAUAGCCAAUUCAGAGAUUCUUGUAAGAAAGUUACACUAAACACACUGUA